CACAGAGUGUGUCACCCCAGGGCUGUCCUGGGGCAAAGGGGAGGGGUCAGCUGGGACAGCAGUGCCCACCACCCGCUCUGCCUGCUGGGUUGGAGACAAAGGUGGAGGGAUGUUACAGCCAAACUACAUUUCUGUGUGUAUACAUCUUCCAGCACCCUUUAGAGCUGUAGCUUCUACAUGUGCUAGGCAGAUGUUCAGUCAUGCUUUCCUCUGUUUCAGCAAAGAUUGGCUUUAUGAUAGCUGGCGUGGUGCAUGGCCUGGGAGCUCCACACAGAUCCUCGAGAAGGAUGAAAUGCUGUUUAGCUUCCACCAAAAGAGAGAAGAAAUGCACACCUGAGAGUCUCCAGCUGCACAGUUCUGAGGGCAGUGCUGCACUGGCAAUUCCUAGCAAUUGGAAGGGGCAUAUUGGACAUCCCGAGCUGAAGGUUUGAAUUUUCCCUCCCAAAGUAUAACAGUAUCAGCCUGUACCCAGAGCACAGAGCACUCAUCUGUGGCACUCUAGAACAUCAAUUAUGUGUCUAUGUGGUCAAAAGGGAAAAGUCCUUCUUCAUCUGAAGUGAAGCAAGCAGGACCUGAAGGAUGUAUCUCAGACAUACCCAUGGCUCUCAGGGUCCGGGAAUGCACUGACUCAGGAGUGGAAGCUGAACCCAAAGUCUCCUACAUGGUCACACAGAGUAGCACUGCACACCAGAUGUGGCUUUCUCUUGUCAUAGGCCUAAAACUUUUGUAAUGAUAAGUGUUUUUCAGGCUGGCAGUCAAUUUCCCAUUGGCUUGAACUCCUAAGAACCACAAGGUAAUGGGAAGCUAGCUGGCUCAGUGAUUAAAAUGGAAAAAAGUAUUUUGAGAUAGCAUUUUCCUGGAAGUGGGGUCCAUUUGUGUCUGAUGAGCUGUUUUAUAAAACUGCCAAAGUGAGAUUAAAACUUUUAAAACUAUUAAAAAAUGGUAUGUGAAGCUUAA